UUGAUAGUUGAUAUUCAUGUGAAAAUCUUUGUGAAGCUUUCGUGUUGUACAAAUUGUGUGGUAGUACCUUGUGGUGAAUCUUGUGGAACUUGUAACUAGAACAACGGAAACGGAAAUAAUGGUUGUGUGGUAGUACCUUGUGGUGAAUGUUAUGGAACUUAUAAUUGGAACAACGGAAACGGAAAUAGCGGAAUAAUGGAAAUGGAAACAAUGUGGAACACUUGAAAUGGAAAUAUUGUGGAAUAAUGUGUUGGUUAGUUGUGAAAAAUUGUUGUGAUGAUCUAAAUUGUGUAUCAACUUUGAUGAACAUGAGNN
rnacentral:lncRNA from 1 species